GUCGACGGUAGCACAGAGAGCUUGCUCUCGGGUGACGAGUGGCGGACGGGUGAGUAAUGUCUGGGAAACUGCCCGAUGGAGGGGGAUAACUACUGGAAACGGUAGCUAAUACCGCAUAACGUCGCAAGACCAAAGUGGGGGACCUUCGGGCCUCACACCAUCGGAUGUGCCCAGAUGGGAUUAGCUAGUAGGUGGGGUAAUGGCUCACCUAGGCGACGAUCCCUAGCUGGUCUGAGAGGAUGACCAGCCACACUGGAACUGAGACACGGUCCAGACUCCUACGGGAGGCAGCAGUGGGGAAUAUUGCACAAUGGGCGCAAGCCUGAUGCAGCCAUGCCGCGUGUAUGAAGAAGGCCUUCGGGUUGUAAAGUACUUUCAGCGGGGAGGAAGGCGGUGAAGUUAAUAGCUUCACCGAUUGACGUUACCCGCAGAAGAAGCACCGGCUAACUCCGUGCCAGCAGCCGCGGUAAUACGGAGGGUGCAAGCGUUAAUCGGAAUUACUGGGCGUAAAGCGCACGCAGGCGGUCUGUCAAGUCGGAUGUGAAAUCCCCGGGCUUAACCUGGGAACUGCAUUCGAAACUGGCAGGCUGGAGUCUUGUAGAGGGGGGUAGAAUUCCAGGUGUAGCGGUGAAAUGCGUAGAGAUCUGGAGGAAUACCGGUGGCGAAGGCGGCCCCCUGGACAAAGACUGACGCUCAGGUGCGAAAGCGUGGGGAGCAAACAGGAUUAGAUA
rnacentral:rRNA from 1 species